CCGAAACUUCCAAAGAGGCGGGGUCCCUGACCACUUCCACCCAGUUCCUGGAUUGAAUGGGCAUGAUCAGGACUCUGUCGGCACGUGACUGAGAUGCGGGCUUCCCACUGACCCCGCCGUUCCUACCCACAGCCUGUGGAGCCGUGGGCGGGGAACGGCAUUUGAUGGUGCCCCUUGGAUCGGAUCCUCACCCUGGAGCCGACAUGAAGGAAAUGUGGGUGAUUCCCGGGACAUGGGGACACACAGGCUCGGCUCACAAGGCAGGGCCAGGCGGUGCUGGCCGAGGAGACAGGAGCCUGUGACCCUGUGAGAGCCACGGUCGGUCAAAGAGCCAGGUGUGGAGGGCACCUGCUAGCCCUGUGGCCUCAGAAACCAAAAUAUGGAAAGGCGAACACUGGUCCCGAGGGCAGUGGGGGAAACGAAACCAGGCUGAGCUUUUGGAACAGCACCCUGAUGAACAACAUGAGUCAAAAUCGGAGAAAUCUUCUCGGGCAACAGGCAGAGAUGCCACAAAGGUUUAUGCAAAAAAUAUCAACCACUGGGUCAUUUUAAACAGCUGAACAGAGAACAAUAUAAUAGAGUGAGGGCAGGGCAGGCACCUGUGAACAGUCAUGCGAAUGUCAUGCUGCUGUGGAAAAUGCAAAAAUGCUUGUUGCUUGUGAUGAUGUGGGAAAAAAGCAGCAUAAGGAAUUUUACUGCAUAAAAUUAUCCAAACUGUAAGAGCAAGAAGACAGGAACAAGAAAAGGCUGAUUAGGAAAAGGAGGGCAUUGAAGAGGGGGCGCCCUCUCUAUGGGACAGACCUUCGAGGGACUUUUCACCCCGUUUGUUUCUCCAAACUUUCUGCAUUUUCUACAAAGAGCAGGAAUUCGUUUUAUUGCCAGGGAGAAAAAAGGUUGUCCUGUCAAAACAUCAGAUGGUGAAUUCUGAGUGUGAGCUUUGGGGGUGUUUCUAGAGCAUUUAAAACAGUGGAUUCUGGGCGGGGCCCUCUGUGGUGUGGGUGGGCCUCGUCCAAUCAGGUGAAGGCCUUAAUAAAAGAACAGGAAGACCCGCCUCUCUGGGGGAGGGGAUUUUCCAGCAGAGGCUCUGGGGCUUCCCGGGUCUCUGCCUGCCGCCCACAUUGCAGAUGUGGACUUGCACCUGCUGUGGCUGUGUGAGCCAACUCCUCUGAAGAGUCGCCUCCCCUCCCUACACACGUCCAUCCGGCCUGCUUCUCUGGGGAGCUCCAACGAACACAAGGACUGAUGAAAAAGGAUCUGUUUGUCCCCUGGCCGGGGUGCUGAAGAGAGAGGCCUCAGAAAGUUCCUGAGGCGCGAGCCGCCAGCAGAAGACGUCAGGGCAGGAAGCCAUGGGUCUCCAUGGAAACGGCAUCAACUGUGUACAAAGCACAGGCCGACGGCACGUGGUGUGGCCUCACCAGGCGCCAUGCAUUCUGGAAGGUGGGGCGAGCAGGCGACAGGCUGCCAUCGCGUACAGACUGGGGGCUCCUCUGCCUUACGGGAGGCAGAGGGCGAUCCAGGGCCACAGUUGGGUCCUGGCCUGCCGGGAGGCUGGUUUAGGAAGAGCCUCUGGGCCCAAGGAGUCAGCCCCGCUCGGCCCUUCUCCUGCAGUGGGCGAUCUGCCCCAGGCCCUCCACACUGCAACCCUGCAUCCUCACCUGCUGCUGGGAAGAGCCACACGAACCACGGCCUAAGAAGCGGCCGCCCAGUUAGCCCAAGGAGGCAUUUCAGCGGACAGAAAGCAGGGCUACACUGUUUUUCACCUAGAAAUGCUAAAUUCUCUGGGAGUGCUAUUAAAACUGGCUGAUUCUGAACGUUCCCAACACGAUGGAAAUGAUAAACGUCUGGUGGUGGAUAUGCCGAGUGCCCUGACCCGGUCAUUACUGCAGUGCAUUGACAGGUCGCGCUGUACCCCACAAGAAGGUAGUUGCCGCGCAUGCCUCCGCCAAAGGCAAAGUGACAAGGCCGCAUCUAUGGAGCAGAGAGCAAGCCGUGCCCAGUCCCCAGUCUCCUGAACCUUGGCCUCGGACUUCCCGGGCCCUAGAAUUGUGUGGAAUGAACGUCUAUUAUUUAUAAACUGCCAUAGCAGCAAUUGGGCACUGGGACACCUAAAUGCUUAACACAGCGCACAUUCGAUUAUUAUAAGCCUGGAGACAGCUCUGUGGUUGUUGCGGGAAGAAAGAACUACACAGGAGCAAAAGAAAAGAGGGCAGGGAAAGCAGGCUUGUGCAGCAGCUGAGAAGAGAGGAUGCAGCAAGGAGAGAGACGGACGCAGGUAAGGAGGUGUCCGGAGGAAGCAGCGUCAGGUCUGCUGGGAUCGGAUCAGCCCCAGGCCCAGUUUUCUCAGCGCGCAGUGGUGCUGUGUGUGCAGAUGCAGAAGGUGAAGAACCUGCAGAUCUCCUGUCACAGCUAGGAAUAAAGUGGGGGUCACGGGCCAGAGGGCAGCGCCCACUGCCAUGGCCCGGAGUGGUCGGCUGGGGAGACCAAGGCCCCAGCGCCCCCGGCCCUGAAGGGUGGACAAAGAGGAGAAAGCAGUGAGAAGCUGGGAUGGGGCGCAGCGGUGCAGACACGGACACAGGGCAGAGGGCAGCGGGGAGAAGGGAGCAGGAAGAGACCCGCACCGCUGGCCCUGGGAGAGGGUUCUGCAUAAGGAAGCAGAGGGCAGCCCAGGGAAGUGGCCACAGCGAAGGGGCGCACAUGGGAAGGGACUUUCCAUGCGCCUGUUCACACUCGGGGCUUCACCAGCAGAACACCAGCAGGGUGCAGGGCAGAAAGGGCUCUCAUGCUGGGCUCUGGGAGCCCUCCCGGAUGGCUGUCCACUUUCUCCAUGAACCACAAGGAAGCACAUCACUUCCUCACUGUGCCGCCUCGGAGGAAAGGACUGCACCUCUCUGAGUCUGUUUCCUCGCUAGCAAAGGCAGGAGUCACUAGGGUUUGUCUUGCAGAAAGAGGGCCAAGGGAAAGUGAGGCCCCAUGGCCAACACGCCUGAGCCAGUGCCUGGCAUCGACACCUUCCAAGUGUGGGCGCCACCAAGACCACUAACACCAAUGCCACCUACGCCAGGAUCUCAGAAGGCCAGCAUGGGCCCCCACGCUGCACGCCACCCCAGCUCAUUCCUUCAUCACUACAGAGCUGGCAGAGGUGCAGGCUUGCCUGCUCAUGGGGACACAGUGCACGGGGCAGACAGGUCCCACGCUGCAGGGCUGACACUCGCCUCCCCGCAGUCGGGAGGCAAAACUUUCAGAACGCCAUCUACCCUUCCUGGAGCCAGGCUGCAAUCUGGGUCAAACCCGAGCUCCUGGCCCAAGCUCCAGAUAUCCGAGCGGCCCCGCAGCCUGAUCUCAGCAGGCUCCAAGUACGCUGGCCGCUGGGCGUGACUGGCGCUGGGACUCCAUCCAAGAACUGAGGAGGCCCGGAUCGUGUUUCCAGCCAUUUCGCUGCUCAGCUGUUUCACAGAAAAGCAACAGAGCGGUGUCCACAUCCGGGAUGAGGGGCAAAAGAAGCCAAGGAAGGGAGCAGACAGGGGGGCUCACGCCAGCAGCUUCCUCCUUGUGAAUCCUGAGGUGCGAAAGCCUGACACACACGAUGCUGUCCUGUCUGGUGACCAGUGCCUUCCCAAGGUAGCCAAGGGCAGAGGCUGGCGUCUCCCUUCCUGUUCAUCACUUCCGUCUGGUUCCACUUUCCCAGUCCAUCCUCCCCCCACGCAAUGAUUGCAUCUUCAAUGAACCGGGCCCAGUUUGGUUUGGUUUAAGGACAAGACUUUGUCCUUUCCCUAGGGAAGCAGCAGGACAGCAUGGAGGCCCCGGCUUUGGUGCCCACCAUGGCCCGGGCUGAGCUCAUCGGCUCCCCACAGGCUCCCCACACAUGCAAGGCUGAGAACCUACUCUGCGCGUCACGCUCCGCAGCUGACAGCAGCACAGGGGCCGGUGUGAAAACCGGACAGUGACGAAAUCUAGCAGCAUCCCGCUGGUCUCCCUGACCAACAUGGGGCCUUUCUCUCUCCUCUUUGUUCUCAGCCGCUCCCCCUCUUCUCUGGCCUUUGGGGGUGCACGUAGGGGUUCCCUUGGACGAGGUGUGCACUCCUUGGGAACUGAAGAUUCGGGCUCCAACUCACACCUGCAGGCAGCAAGCCCCGGGCUCCUGCUGCAUCUCCAAAGACAGGGACUGUCACAGAAAGGCUGGUGGCCAGCCUGUGACUGUCAGGAGACAGGAUCCUGUACAGGGAGGCCCAGUGGGGAAGCAAGCUCACCCUUGGGGUGUGUGGGACCCCGGCCCCUUCCUGUCUCUGUUUUCUGGCUUCCUGUCUGGCAAGAGGUCCCCUGCACCCCGUGCCCCUGCCGUGACAUGCUACCUCGUCCCAGGCCCACAGCGACAGUGCCCUCGACCACAGACCACAGACCAGAAGCUCUGGACCUAUGGGCCAAGUGAGCCUCUCCUCCUUAGAAGCUGUUGGCCCUGGGUGUUGUGUCACAGUGACAGAGAGCUGCUCACACACACGGCCACCCGCACGGCACACAUUCAGAGGCCAGGGCUGCCUGGUGGGGGCAGCUGGGAAGGAAGGGGCUGUGCCUCAGCCACACCCCAAUGACUGUCACAGCAGAGGCUGCACUCGCUUGGGUCUGCGGCCCCUACGCCCUGCUCACAGUGUGACCAAGCCAAGAGAAGACCAGGAGCAAGGGAGUGAGCCAGACUUGACUCACCACGAGGAGGAAAUGAACAAAUGACAGACAUCAGGAGAGAAACGAGGCCAUCAGCAAAAUUAGUGACAAAGUUUCCGCAGCCCUCUCAGCAUCUUCACAGGGAUAAAUCUCCACAGGCUGGCACUGCACAGCUGGGCCUCUCCAGGCUUCAGUAAGAUACCCCGCAGAGGGGUCUGCACGAUGCGACCCACAGCGCAUGGGAAGGAGAGGAGCACCAGGCACUCUGGCCGGGACAUGGACAGCAUGCCGGCACUGCGAGGCACUGAGCAGAGCGCGCCUGGGCAGGCAGUGUCCCCCAGGGCCGAGUCAGGUAUGUCACACAAGGUCCUUCUGCCCGGGCCUCAUCUCACACCAGGAGACGCCUGCAGGGGACCUCAGAAGGAAGGAAGGACUGCAGACUCCUUACCCGGCCCGGGCGGCUCUUUACAUUCACGCGCUUCUGUUUAGGAAGCACGUUCUAGAAGGUCACUGUGCAUUUCAGAGCUCUGCGUCCAAACCCUGAGUCACAGAUCCUCCGAAAACACACUGCUGUGCACUCUGUGGUAUUUCUGUUUGUUUUUAACUCAAGCCCUCCUCUCCAGAACACAGCCACUGCACAUUUUUAAAGGAAACCUGACCACUGUGCUUCCGGGAAUCUCUGCUCUUUGUCUUCUGUUCGACCUCUGCACAACGGCUUAUGCUUACAGCAUGUGUGAGCACACACGCACACGGGCACCCAUGCACACAUGCAAACGGGCCCACACAGACACACAUGGACACACAUGCACACACAGGCACAUACACAGGGACACACACACACAGGCACAAACACGCACACAGGCACACACACUGUUUAUAAUAGUUCCAAGAGUGUCCUGAGAUCAUUUUUUGCUCUACCUUUUGAUGAUCCUGAUAAGCACUCUUCCCACUGGACAGACAGAGAGCAGUGGCUGACCCGAGCAUCUGAGUUAAGGGCUCCGGGCAGCUCCGGCUCCAGGACUCGCCCGCCUGCCUGCCUGCCUCUCUGGUGCACCUUCCACCCAGGUGGGGCCGUUUCUUUCUUGACUGUAGUUCUUUGGAAAAAAAAAGGAAAAAAGCCUACCUCGAUCUUAAAGGUGUACGUGGCCUUUUCAAGGAGAGACUGAGAGCCACAAAGGCAGCACUGACUGACUCCCAUCCAACUGUCAUUACAGAGUCUGAGGCUAUUUUGAAAACACAAACAAAUAAAUGAGUAAGGACCUGAAGGUCGGCACCUGACAGUCACUGACCGUGACCUACAAACCUGUACAGGCCUGAGCAGCAAACAACUGCAGAACACGGGUCCUCUACUCGUGGGCAAAGGACCCUCGCCACGCCCACCUCCGCCGAGCAGAGCGUCACGUCCAGACAGCUCUGGGACACUGACUCACCUGAAGUCUUUUUGGUUUCUCAUAUCAGAAAAACCAUUCGAUAUCUAAGCCUGUGUGUUUGGCUGGGUUUUCAUGACACUGCGUGAGAUUGCCUCCCUCAAACCCUGGUACGAUCUCAGCAUAUUAUGUUUGUGAUGGGAAAAAAAAGAAGAAAGAAAGGGGAAAAAAUUCAAAACUUUGCUAACACUGCUGGCCACUCUGAUACACUGCUGGUAGGAGAGAAAACUGAACCUACAUCAGAUUAUAGACGCUAAAGCCUUCACGUGAGAAUUUAGCCUGUGCUUGCAUGGAGUGGUCACUGGAGUGGUCACUGGAGUCUGCGGGUCGUAUGAAAAGACUGAGGCCGUGCCCGAGAGUGGGAGCCAUCUGAGACUACAGUGCACUACAGAAGAGCUGCUGUGUGCUAUAACAGAGAAGGGGAAGGGCUCUGCUCUGGGCAGGGCAAAAUCCCGAGACACUCUGUUCAGGUAAAAAACUGGGGGCUGAGGACAGUUCAACCAGCCUUUCUGCCUGCUUGUACAGGCAUGGACACAUCCAAAAUAAAGGCGGCUUCCCCGCACCACUGGCCGAAGUGUAAUGCACAGUCCUAGGAAGCAACUGGGCAAGACCGAGUGAGGCUGACGGGGUGCACAGCCUCAGCUCAGCAGCGCCCAUCCCGGAGAGGCCGCGACACAUGAGGCCAGCAGGACACACGCACAGGCUGCACCUGGCUUCGUGUCCGCCUGAUGGCAAGGGAAUGUGCCAAGGACAGUGCACACGAGGACAGGUGUGAGGCCUGCCGGGUGACAGGAACCCCCCAGGGUCCACAGAGCUGGACGGCACUCUCACAGGAAAGUUUAAAUACGAGAGAGUGUGCUGCUCAUGGCACACUGGGCACAAGGGGGAGCACUGUGAAAAUAACCAAAUUCUGGGUAAACGUUUCCUCUGAGGGUGAAGAGAGAGUUAAGCGGAGGAGGCACAUUUGAAGCCCAUCUGUAGCACUUCUGAACCUCCAAGAGACUUAAAGGUGCAACAUCAGAAGAAAAUCUUCAUUCCCGAGUGAAUCUGAGUCAUUUAGGGUCAGUGUUUUUCAUCACCUCCUGAAAACUCUCGGGAUGAACGAACUCUGUUGCCUCAAUUUCGUACACUGAAAUCCGGACCCUGGGGCAGUGGCGUUCGGAGGCAGGGCCUCCAGGAGGUGAAGAAAUCUCUCUGUGAGCCCUGAGCCCCAGAGGUGGGGACAUAGGGAGAAGCCCAGAGAGGACUCCUGAGGAGAAAGCAGCCCUUAGACGCUGAGCCUGCUGGAACCCUGACCUUCGACCUCCAGCCUCGAAAACUGUGAGAACAAGUUUUGUGGUUUACAAGCCCCCAGUCAGAGCACCGUGAGCGGACGAGGGCCACUGCCAUGACCACCACUAAGAACGCAAAUGAACAAAACAAAUGCAACGGCACAUCAGAAACAGCCGAAGAGAGAAACGGGGAACCAGAAGACAGCAAGAAAAAAUAAGCCAGGCUAAAAAAAGGACAGUAAAUACAAAGAGCAUACAAAGCAGAGCUGAGCAAGUCUACCAAUGAAACACCAUCUCAGGGAAAGGGAGUGCGGCAAAGAUGUAUUUGAAGAAAACAGCUGAGAAUUCUUCCUAAAACACAGAAAGAUAACAAUCCAGAAGCCCAUACACCCCAGGUGGAAUAAACCAGAAAGAUCCGUGUGCAGACAAUAAAGCAAAACUACAGGAAAUACAAGGGAAAGUCUGGAGGCAGCUGCAAGCGGGGGCAACCUCUCUCCAAAGGGGCGGCGGACACAGGGUCCCGGUCACCAGGGGCUGCUGCAGAAUACAGGAGGUGCAGGGCCCAGCACC